ensembl:lncRNA
CAUGAGGCUAUGAGUAAGAACGCCAUUUGGAUUCCACGCUGUUGUACCGUGCAAACUAGAACAUUAAUUUUAGCGACUUGGUUCUCUCGUCAACUCUUAUUCAAAGUGUAUAAGCUAUAUGCUCUGAAUUGGACAAUACAACAUGUGGAUUAUCACAUUGUUUUACUACAAUUUGAUGAACUAUCGAAACAAACGAAGAUCAAGGAUUUUUUGGACAUCAGACUGAAAAUUGUUGAACGCUGAGUCUCCUACAUAGCUAUGUUCGGAUGUUUUGUGCUUCUUCGCAUAUCAACAGUUGAACAGGUGAUGACGAUUUCUGUAGUUUUGUUCCCGGAGGUGGAUGACUUUGUGGCAGCAGUUCCACGCCAGGAUGGAGCAAGCACAGUACUCCUAGGCACCAGACAGGUACUCCACGCCACCAUGUAGAGGAUGGCUACAUAGGUAAGUGUGGGUUCAUUCACUUAACCCAGAUGCUUAAAUUGUUAUUAAAGCAUGUUGCUUCGAGCCAUUUAUACUCUCCCUGCUCACCGACCGGGCACUCGAGCCCCAGUCCCCGCUCCAGCUCCGCGGCCUGCCCCAGUCCCCGCUCCAGCUCCGCGGCCUGCCCCAGGCCCCGCUCCAGCUCCGCGGCCUGCCCCAGGCCCCGCUCCAGCUCCGCGGCCUGCCCCAGGCCCCGCUCCAAUAUUUUGUUUGUCCUUGUCUUGUCCUUGUAUGGUCUUUCCUGUUCUUGUUUCAGUUGAUUGGUAUGUUCAGUUCACCUGUGUUUAGCCCCCACCUGUUUCUGUUCUCCUCGUUUGUCUGUGUAUUUUGUUCAGCCAUUUUCUCCCUGUCAGUGUAGGUCAUUGUGCUUGUGUGCCUGUUAUGUUUGUGUGCUCCUGAACCAUUGAACCCCUGAACUCUUGAGUAUUUUUGUAGUGCCCGGCACUCCGUUUGGUUUUCUUUGUUUUUGUUAAAUAAAAAGGGGAAACACCUCAAUCUUCUGCGCCUGCCUCCGUCUCCUACUAUACAACGUGACAAUUUCUUAUUUAUUUUUACUGCUGCUAUGUACAGUGUUAUAUAUGAUUGCAUUAUCCUCAAUAUAUGUAUAGCUCUGUGUGAAUUCUGACUGUAGUUGUAGUGUUAUGCCACCAUUCAUAAGCUUAUUGCACUGAUGCAUCUGAUUUUCAAUAACUAUUGAUUGCUGCUAGGUCAUACUUAUAUAUAUUACUGACAUUCCAGCCCUUGUUUAUUUUGUAUUGUAUUAUGUUUAUUUUGUACUUUCACAUUCAAAUACUGUAGUUUUACUAUCUGUUUCUAGACACGUUUUCUAGCACUUUGAUUUUGUAACAUUUUUAUUUCAAUUCAUUUGCACAUGUUUAUUUUGUAUGCUUG